rnacentral:rRNA from 1 species
GCACAAGCGAGGACAUGUGGUUAAUUCGAUGAUACGCGAGGAACCUUACCUGGGCUUAAAUGUAGAGUGCAUUUUUUAGAGAUAGAAAUUCCCUUCGGGCUUUCUGCAAGGUGCUGCAUGGUUGUCGUCAGCUCGUGCCGUGAGGUGUCGGGUUAAGUCCCAUAACGAGCGCAACCCUUAUCGUUAGUUGCCAUCUGGUAAUGCAGGGGACUCUAGCGAAACUGCCACCGUAAGGUGAGAGGAAGGUGGGGAUGACGUCAAAUCAGCACGGCCCUUAUGUCCAGGGCUACACACGUGUUACAAUGGUCGGUACAGAGGGCAGCUACCUGGUGACAGGAUGCUAAUCUCGAAAACCGGUCUCAGUUCGGAUCGAAGUCUGCAACUCGACUUCGUGAAGCUGGAUUCGCUAGUAAUCGCGCAUCAGCUAUGGCGCGGUGAAUACGUUCCCGGGCCUU